GAUCUAGAAAAAAAGCUUUAGUGACGUAUAUAACCUCAUAUCCCCUUAAUCAGAGACAACAAAUAUUAAGUUAUAAUUUUAAUUUAAUCUUUCAUAUACUAAAGUACCGAAUAAUCAAUUAGUAGUAGUAUUAUCUUAGCUAACAAUACUAGAUUAUUUGCAUUUAGAAUAUUCGACAUGAAUCUCUCACAAAUUAAAUACUAAUAUAACUAGUGAGAGAUAUGGUGAAAAAAAUUCCGAUGCUGUCCAUAUACUCGCAUAAAUUCAUCGAUUACAGAAAAAAAUUGACUGGCCAACCUUUCAUUAGAUAAAAAGUAAGAAGAAAAACGAAUCACUAGGAAACAAAAGAAGAAUAUGAGAGUAAUGACCCCACGACAAAGACGCUAUGGGUGUGACUGAAUAACACAACUAGCAGUAAUAUUAUUGAUGAAAAACAUUUACUCUACUUCCAGCUGAAAUUCUACCAAUCAGGGUGAAACAAAAUUUAAUAAUCUUACGCUGAUUACUAUUCAGCAAAGAGAAAAUUAUUUUGCUUUUGUUCCUCAUGGUUUUGUGGAGGAAAAGAGUUACGCUCAUUUCCACAUUUUAUUCCUUUUUACUAUUACACCCUAUGAACUUGUUAAUAAAGUGACCGGCCUUAUCAGCUACUCCACUAAAGUAUAUGCAUCUUGUGUCUAUUUAAACUAUAAAAUCUUUUCAAAAUAAUUAAACUAAGAUUCAACCAAUCAUCAUAGUUCAUAAGUUUUUGUUUGUCGUUUUAUCAUGCUCCUGAGACCUAUAAACCAAACAUUUUGUCCCAAAAAGAAGAGAUCAAACUUUCAUCUGAAAAGGAAAAAACACAGAGCCUAUGGCAUAUUCAAGUAAACGGUGUCUUCCUCUGCAAACACCAUGUUUUGUUCCAAAGACAGUAAGAUCAAACACUUUGAUGCUUCAAUAGAGUCAAGUUAAAGUUAAAGUCAAGCAAGUCACAGUUUCACAGCCUCGGCCUUUAAGAUACUCCCACAAGAACACUGUAAUACAAGAGAUUGCAGAAAAGCAUGAUGGUCAAAGACUUGAAACUACUUCACAACAUGAGCCAAUGAUGAUCAAAUGGAGCAGCUUUGCUUCCUUUUAAAUCUUUUUUUUUUCUAAGGCCUCUUGAAUAAGAACGUACAAAAAAUGGCUGUGAGAGAAGUAACAAUUUGAUUCUUCUUGUCUCUCUUUUGUAAGAACAUAAACAUGAAUGUGUCCAGCAUCAAAACAUAUAUGAAAAGAAUCUCAUAUACACAAGAAAAUGUCAUUCUUUACAGUAUAAAAAUUGAAAUAAUCUCACACCUUUCUGAUGAAAACUUAGACAAUCCCCUAAAACUCUACAAGAGAGAAACCAAUGAAGGAAGAAUCAUAACCGAAGAAUAGUGCUCCCAAAUGCACUAACCAAUGCACAAAAACCAAUUUCUAUACAAGA